UACGUAGGGGGCAAGCGUUGUCCGGAAUCAUUGGGCGUAAAGAGCGUGUAGGCGGCUCGGUAAGUCCGCUCUGAAAGCCCGGGGCUCAACCCCGGGAGGCGGGCGGAUACUGUCGAGCUAGAGUCCGGAAGAGGCGAGUGGAAUUCCCGGUGUAGCGGUGAAAUGCGCAGAUAUCGGGAAGAACACCCGUGGCGAAGGCGGCUCUCUGGGACGGUACUGACGCUGAGACGCGAAAGCGUGGGGAGCGAACAGG
rnacentral:rRNA from 1 species